AAGUCGUAACAAGGUCUCCGUAGGUGAACCUGCGGAGGGAUCAUUACAGAGUUCAUGCCCUAACGGGUAGAUCUCCCACCCUAUGUUAUCAUUACCAUGUUGCUUUGGCGGGCCGUCGGGCUCACGCUCGGCUACCGGCUCCGGCUGGUAAGCGCCCGCCAGAGCGCACCCAUCAAUCAUUACUGUCGUCGUCGUCUGAGUCACAUAUAAUAGUUAAAA
rnacentral:misc_RNA from 1 species